rnacentral:lncRNA from 1 species
CCUGUCCAGUGUUAUCUACCUUGGAACGAUUGUCUCAUUUAGAGGGACUCUCUAACCUGAGUACACAUUUGAAACAUCUGAGGGCUUUGAAACAUACCUGCUCCUGGACCACCUGCUGAACCAAUUAAAUCAGAAUUUCUGUUGUGAAGAUCUCCACGUGAGUUUAAGCUUUCCUGCUCAACUGUUAGUUCCAUGAAGGCAACAGCCAUGCCUGCUUCGUUCACUGAAAUAUCUUCGUUUCCUAACACACAGAAAGUCAUCAUUUUUUGACGGAUGAAAGAAUGGAUGAAUGCCUAGUCUUGGAGACAUCUACUUGCAAUAAAGGUGAAGAAACAGAGGCAAAGGGAGCAUAAGCAAUUUUCCAAAGGCCAUACAACAUGUAAGUGGCUGAGCCAAGACUGAAAUCACCAGGUUCUUAACCACUAGGCCAUAUUGCAUUGGAGUGUUGCCUCCUGGAGUAAGACUAGGCUAAAAGCUUCAUAGAAACCUAAAGGAGUUAGAGAAGGAAGAUCUCUCAAUGGAAAUGCUAAGAAGAGACACAAGGAAAGACACAUCACUAAGGAGAGACCCAAGGAAAAUGGCUCUAUGACUACAGUCCAUUUAAAGAAUGAGGGCGUUCCUUCUACCAAGUUACAGGUGGAGAUGUGUUUACCUGCUGGAUACCAAUGCUUCUAGCAUCAGGGAGAAGUUGAGCCCUGGAGGAAACAUUGCCUCUAAGUUUGUGUUCUGAUGGAGAUGAUGACUACUUCACAGGCACUUUGCAAGGUCUGAUGACAUUGACAAUACAUUGGACAAAGAGCAAAGGAAGAGGAGUCUGCAAAACAACAACAACAACAACAGAAAAAAACAAAAUAAAACAAAGGGUCAUCGGAAGAGUAACAGGAGAAAGAAGAGUUAAUGUGUGGUGGAAUCCUUGGGAAAGCAUGAGUCAAGAAGUAUAGUAUACACAAUUCAGAUAACCAAGGGGUUACUUCCAAAAGGAUGAAUGUAUUUGUAGGCAAGGCGCAUGGAAAUAAGCUUUCCUGAAAUCCCACGUAACCCACAAUAGCUCUCAAAAGCUUCAAAAAAUAGUGAUGAAAAAGGUUAACUCUGAUGCUGUUCUGGAGCUGAAAGCAGAUUUUGACCUUGGAUAAACAUGCUGGAUUUUCGCUAUUGAAUGUAUUGGGCACAAUUCAAGGUACACAGUCAUUCCAGAAUGUACUUGAUAAAAAUAAGAAAUUUGCAUGUCUUAGAGGGACAUGGACACAUUCUUUAUACUCAGUUGCAGACUGGUUGUUUUAAAAAAUUAAGUGUUAACAAUUUGCUUACAGUUCUUGCUCAUAUAUGGUAACUCGAAAAUUGUCAGUGCUGAGUUUAGCUGGAAAACUCCUGGAAGUGUCAACCCAUUCUCAAAAUAAAUGGUUUUCACAGCUAUGAUUUUAUACAAAAAUUUUGAGCGGUUUAGAGUAUCAAUCCUUUUCAUUACCAUUGUGCUUCAUUUAAAUUAAAUUUUCAAGAGAGUUAAUGUGCCGACAUGCUAUUGUCAAACUGAACAACAACAAAAAACAAACCCCAGUCCCUUGAAUAGAAUUUAUUUCAAGAUUGUUUUGAAAUAGUUUUCCACUUUAAGGUAUGUGAACUACAGAAUUUGUAUUUUUAUUUAGUCAAAAACAUGUGGUUGUUGAAAUACUCCUUAAUUUAUUUUAUUGGCUAUAUUGAUUUUCUCACUUUAAAACAUCUAAUAACAAUUACUCACUGUUUGUGCUGGAACAUUAUGAACACCAACAAGGACAUUUCCCUUAAAAAGUAAUGGUGUCCUAAUGUAUGUUACAGGUUGAUGGGUGCAGCAAACCACCAUGGCACGUGUAUUCCU